UACGUAGGAUCCUAGCGUUGUCCGGAUUUACUGGGUGUAAAGGGUGCGCAGGCGGGCUUAUAAGUCAGUGGUGAAAUCUCGGCGCUUAACGCCGAAACUGCCUUUGAUACUAUAAGUCUUGAGUUUGGUAGAGAUCCGUGGAAUUCCGAGUGUAGCAGUGAAAUGUGUAGAUAUUCGGAAGAACACCAGCGGCGAAGGCAGCGGAUUGGGCCAAUACUGACGCUCAGGCACGAAAGCAUGGGGAUCAAACAGG
rnacentral:rRNA from 2 species